ensembl:snRNA U6 U6 spliceosomal RNA
GUGCUCGCUUCAGCAGCACAAAUACUAAAAUUGGAAAGAUACAGAGAAGAUUAGCACGGCCCCUGUGCAAGGAUGACAGGCAAACUCAUGAAGCGGACCAUAUUUAU